GUUGGAACCCUUAUUUUCUUUAUUUUUCUAGCAUUGGUCGCCUUGGUGCCACCGCUAGUGGCCUCUUGUCUCAAUCUUUCAACUGGCACCACCACCAUUGGCCACAACCACGGCCAACCUUACCAUCUAUAUCUAUCCUUGAGAAGAUCGGGCAUUGGGUGCCCUAUUUUUGUCAAGAAGCCAAAGAAUGGAGGAAAAAAAAGGGGGCGAGAAGAAAACAAAAAACAGAAAAAGAA
rnacentral:lncRNA from 1 species